rnacentral:rRNA from 1 species
UACGUAGGUGGCGAGCGUUGUCCGGAUUUACUGGGCGUAAAGAGCGCGCAGGCGGUCUUGUAAGUCGAAUGUGAAAGCCCCUGGCUCAACCGGGGAGAGUCAUUCGAUACUGCUCGACUCGAAGGCAGGAGAGGGAAGUGGAAUUCCCGGUGUAGUGGUGAAAUGCGUAGAUAUCGGGAGGAACACCAGUGGCGAAGGCGACUGUCUGGCCUGUUCUUGACGCUGAGGCGCGAAAGCUAGGGUAGCGAACGGG